UGACUAAAAAACCACCACGUGUGAGCAAUCGUCCGCCUGGGUGGGGCGAGAUGCGGUUGCGCUAGCAUUCGCCAUCUCAAGGUUUUAAGUGCCUAUCUUAGGGAUAGACGACUGUGUUAACAGGUGAUUCAUAUGCGUGCAUCUGGUAAAAAAUGUGCAUAUAAAUCAUGCAUAUACACAUAACCUACCAUAGCUGAAAUUAUACGUGAACAAAAUGAAGCAGUAGUAAGUACAGCUCAUUACUAAGUAACUUUAAAAUCGA